rnacentral:rRNA from 1 species
AUUGAACGCUGGCGGCAUGCCUUACACAUGCAAGUCGAACGGUAACGGGCCUUCGGGUGCCGACGAGUGGCGAACGGGUGAGUAAUGCAUCGGAACGUACCUUUCAGUGGGGGAUAACGUAGCGAAAGUUACGCUAAUACCGCAUAUUCUGUGAGCAGGAAAGCAGGGGAUCGCAAGACCUUGCGCUGAUUGAGCGGCCGAUGUCAGAUGAGCUAGUUGGUGAGGUAAAGGCUCACCAAGGCGACGAUCUGUAGCGGGUCUGAGAGGAUGAUCCGCCACGCGGGAACUGAGACACGGUCCAGACUCCUACGGGAGGCAGCAGUGGGGAAUUUUGGACAGUGGGGGCAACCAUGAUCCAGCCAUGCCGCGUGGGUGAAGAAGGCCUUCGGGUUGUAAAGCUCUUUCGGCCGGGAAGAAAUCGUAUGGGCUAAUACCCUGUGCGGAUGACGGUACCGGCAUAAGAAGCACCGGCUAACUACGUGCCAGCCGCCGCCGUAAUAC